CUGGUCUAUGCAUGAAUUCUGGUGCAAUAAUGUGAAAAGUAUUGUGUACUGUGUAAAUAAUAUGUGCAUGGUUGAAAUAUCUGGCUAUUGUAUAGAAUUUUACAGUUGUUUGUGCUUUAACUGUUUUUUUAUGGAACAUCUGUGGGACAACAGAUGGAAACUAGCCUUUGGCUAAAAUCUGGAGUGUUUAUAUUCAUGUGAAAACAUGUAUGUUCAUUAAUGCUCACUGUCCCGUUCAAAUAAAUAAAUUGAGAAUGAAAAUUGAAAUUGAUUUUUGAGAAAAAUUUAUCAGGGUGUA